rnacentral:rRNA from 1 species
AACGAACGCUGGCGGCAGGCCUAACACAUGCAAGUCGAACGCGUGUCGCAAGACACGAGUGGCGCACGGGUGAGUAAUACGUCGGAACCAACCCAGAGGUUCGGAAUAACCGCGGGAAACUGCGGCUAAUACCGGAUGUGUCCUAAGGGAGAAAGAUUUAUCGCCUUUGGACGGGCCGACGUCCGAUUAGCUAGUUGGUGAGGUAACGGCUCACCAAGGCUACGAUCGGUAGCUGGUCUGAGAGGAUGAUCAGCCACACUGGAACUGAGACACGGUCCAGACUCCUACGGGAGGCAGCAGUGGGGAAUAUUGGGCAAUGGAGGCAACUCUGACCCAGCCAUGCCGCGUGGGUGACGAAGGUCUUCGGAUUGUAAAGCCCUUUCGGCGGGAC